AUUCCAGCUCCACUAGUGUAUGCUAAAGUUGCUGCAGUUAAAAAGUUCGUAUUUGGAUUUUUGGUUUCGAUGUCGAGUCCCUCCAUUUUGGUGUGUGACUUUUUGUCAGCCUUCUGGAUGCACCUUUCGGGGUGUAUUCUGGUUACCGUGAGGAAAUUGGAGUGCUCAAAGCAGGCGUAUGCAGCUGAACACAUUAGCAUGGGAUAACAAGGCAGGACUCUUUUCUUGUUUUGUUGGUUUCUCGUAGAAGAGAGUAAUGAUUAAUAGGGGCAGUUGGGGGCAUUAGUACGGCUACGUCAGAGGUGAAAUUCGUAGAUUGUAGUCAGACUAACUUCUGCGAAAGCAUUUGUCAAGGAUGCUUUCAUCG
rnacentral:rRNA from 1 species